UACAGAGGUCUCAAGCGUUGUUCGGAUUCAUUGGGCGUAAAGGGUGCGUAGGCGGUCUGUUAAGUUGGAUGUGAAAACUCUGGGCUCAACCCAGAGCCUGCAUCCAAAACUGGCAGGCUAGAGUUCUGGAGGGGGUAGCGGAAUUCCUGGUGUAGCGGUGAAAUGCGUAGAUAUCAGGAGGAACACCAGUGGCGAAGGCGGGUCUCUGGACAGUUCCUGACGCUGAGGCACGAAGGCCAGGGGAGCAAACGGG
rnacentral:rRNA from 1 species